AUUGAACGCUGGCGGCAGGCUUAACACAUGCAAGUCGAGCGGUAGCACAGGGGAGCUUGCUCCCUGGGUGACGAGCGGCGGACGGGUGAGUAAUGUCUGGGAAACUGCCUGAUGGAGGGGGAUAACUACUGGAAACGGUAGCUAAUACCGCAUAACGUCGCAAGACCAAAGAGGGGGACCUUCGGGCCUCUUGCCAUCAGAUGUGCCCAGAUGGGAUUAGCUAGUAGGCGGGGUAAUGGCUCACCUAGGCGACGAUCCCUAGCUGGUCUGAGAGGAUGACCAGCCACACCGGAACUGAGACACGGUCCAGACUCCUACGGGAGGCAGCAGUGGGGAAUAUUGCACAAAGGGCGCAAGCCUGAUGCAGCCAUGCCGCGUGUGUGAAGAAGGCCUUCGGGUUGUAAAGCACUUUCAGCGAGGAGGAAGGUGGUGAGCUUAAUACGUUCAUCAAUUGACGUUACUCGCAGAAGAAGCACCGGCUAACUCCGUG
rnacentral:rRNA from 1 species